GCCUGGGUAGCUCAGUUGGUUGAGCAUCCGACUUCAGCUCAGGUCAUGAUCUCACUGUUUGUGGGUCCGAGCCCCGCAUUGGGCU
rfam:Felis catus isolate Cinnamon breed Abyssinian chromosome B3, whole genome shotgun sequence.